rnacentral:lncRNA from 1 species
AUGCGCUCACACACACACACACUCAAGUCACCACAAGAAUGGCAAGAGGGGACAGGCUCGCAGCUAGAGACCAUUUCAUCUGUAGGUCAUGUGUGUAACAGUUUAACAGUCCUCCACCCACCACACCCUUACAGAGCCGCAGCUGACGACCCAAGGGCUCAAGGAUGCACCGGGAUGGGACACUUCCUGGUCCCUAAUGGAAUCCACAGGCACACAGUGACCUCAGUCCAACACAGUCCCCCUCACUGCCUGCCUGGAUCAGAUAGGCCCUUGCCAGAGAUAUUAGAGAAAGUAGGAGAUAGAAAUCCCAUUGGGAAAUGAAUGGAGAGACGUACAACGCCCCACCCAGCAGACUGUCGACCAAUCACGUUCACGUUGUCAUGCUGCGUCACGUAGUUGGUAAGCUAAUCAUCAUGCAAUCCCUUCUCAAAGUCAGGGUAUGAGUCUAUUUUCCUUGAAAGUACAUAAUAUCAUGAUUCCAAAGCUAUACGAUAUUACAUAGAACAAGUUAAUUAUCUCACAUCUUCUUGUUCACAAAAUUCAUGCUAAUGUUGUUUUUAUGAGCUAGCGCCCAAUUGACUCCCAGUCACUUUUCUUCUUAUUUUGUAUCAUGGCGUUUGCACAUUUUGUUUGUGCAUGCCGCCACCUACUGUGUUGUAGUGUGUGGUCGAUCACGUAGCCUACAUUUUGUGAUACAAAAAUAAAAAAAUGCACCACCAACUAACAUCUACAGUGGCAAGAAAAAGUAUGUGAACCCUUUGGAAUUACCUGUACUUCUGCAUAAACUGGUCAAAAAAAUGUGAUCUGAUCUUCAUCUAUGUCACAACAAUAGACAAACACAGUCUGCUUAAACUAAUAACCAACAAACAAUUUUACAUUUUCAUGUCUUUAUUGAACCCCCGUGUAAACAUUCACAGUGCAGGGUGGGAAAAGUAUGUGAACCCUUGGAUUUAGUAACUGGUUGACCCUCCGUUGGCAAUAAUAUCCUCAACCAAAAUGUUUUCUGUAGUUGCGGAUCAGACCUGCACAAUGGUCAGGAGGAAUUUUCGACCAUUCCUCUUUACAAAACUGUUUCAGUUCAGCAAUAUUCUUGGGAUGUCUGGUGUGAACCGCUCUCUUGAUGUCAUGCACCGUAAUCUCUAUCGGGUCGAGGUCAGGACUCUGACUGGACCACUCCAGAAGGCUUAUGUUCUUCUGUUGAAACCCUUCUGUUGUUGAUAUACUUCUGUGUUUUGGGUCGUUGUCCUGUUGCAUCACCCAACUUCUGUUGAGUUUCAAUUGGCGGACAGAUAGCCUAACAUUCUCCUGCAAAAUGUCUUGAUAAACUUGGGAAUUCAUUUUUCCAUUGAUGAUAGUCAGCUGUCCAGGCCCUGAGGCAGCAAAGCAGCCCCAAAUUAUGAUGCUCCCUUCACUAUACUUUACGGUUGGGAUGAGGUUUUGAUGUUGGUGUGCUGUGCCUUUUUUUCUCCACACAUAGUGUUGUGUGUUCCUUCCAAACAACUCAACUUUAGUUUCAUCUGUCCACAUGAUAUUUUGCCAGUAGCACUGUGGAACAUCCAGAUGCUCUUUUGCAAACUUCAGAUGUGCAGCAAUGGUUUUUUUGGA